rnacentral:rRNA from 1 species
UACGUAGGGUGCGAGCGUUAAUCGGAAUUACUGGGCGUAAAGCGCGCGCAGGCGGUUUUGUAAGUCAGAUGUGAAAGCCCCGGGCUCAACCUGGGAACUGCGUUUGAAACUGCAAGGCUAGAGUAUGGGAGAGGGGGGUAGAAUUCCACGUGUAGCAGUGAAAUGCGUAGAGAUGUGGAGGAAUACCAAUGGCGAAGGCAGCCCCCUGGCCUAAUACUGACGCUCAUGCUCGAAAGCGUGGGGAGCAAACAGG